rnacentral:rRNA from 1 species
UGGGGGAUAUUGCACAAUGGGCGAAAGCCUGAUGCAGCGACGCCGCGUGGGGGAUGAAGGCCUUCGGGUUGUAAACUUCUUUUGCUCUGAACAAGGCGCACCAUGGGGUGUGUUGAGUGUAGGGGUUGAUUAGCGCCGGCUAACUACGUGCCAGCAGCCGCGGUAAUACGUAGGGCGCGAGCGUUGUCCGGAAUUAUUGGGCGUAAAGGGCUUGUAGGUGGCUGGUUGCGUCAGUCGUGAAAGCUCAUGGCUUAACUGUGGGUUUGCGGUGGGUACGGGCUGGCUUGAGUGCAGUAGGGGAGGCUGGAAUUCCUGGUGUAGCGGAGGAAUGCGCAGAUAUCAGGAGGAAUACCGGUGGCGAAGGCGGGUCUCUGGGCUGUUACUGACACUGAGGAGCGAAAGCAUGGGGAGCGAACAGG